ACACAUGAAAAUAAAUACAAAAUGUCCCAGUACAUUUGAACGCUACGGACGACUGACAGUAUUUUGUAUUUCAUUGUUAUCUUCUCAAUAAUUUUUAUUGAACAAAACUUGAAAUAUUUAUAAACUAAUAGUUCGCAUAUAUAAUAAUAUAGAUGUAUUUCAUAAAAAUAACAAAUGUGACGAGCGGUAUUGCACCGCUAGUUUCUCUUCGCAAUCGAUUAAGACAAGCGCUAUCGCGCUGUUCGGGAUUUUUCGACUCCGUUUCUUCAAAAACUCCUGGGACUCAAACGGUUAAUAAUGAGUUUCGUAUAGUUUCAAAUCCAUUUUGUAUUUUUUCUUGUCGAUCGUGGACAUUGCUCACUUGCGUUGAAUAUACAAUAGA